UGAAAGUUGCCUUUUCAGAAGGGGAGGGGGAAAUCUGGAGAUGAAACCUAAAAACAAGGCCGCUCUCCGGCUGGAUUGCACUUGGCAGGCUUGGACGACAAAGGAGCUCAGGGUGAGCGCGCAGGGAGGAGAGGAGAGCAGAGGCAUGCAGACUGGGAAGUCUUUCCUCAAGCUCUGCCGCCAGGAACCACAGCCCCACAGCCAUUGCAGCCCCAAGAGGGUGGACAGACAGGACCUUUGGCAAACGCUGGUGCCACAGGUUAUGUUUUGGGUUGGAUAGAGUGGGGCGUGGGGAGAACCUAGAGGAACCAGCCCUAGAGAGCGAAGAGGCAGAAUCCGGUUACACCGAAUCAUUUCACGCUAGACCGACUACGAAAACGUACCGGGCCGUCCACCUCAGAGGGAGCCCCGUGAGCCAUUAUAAGCAGUGGGUGAUCGAUCGCGGCUACAGGCUUCCAGUACUGCCUAGAAGCUGAAAAGGAGGAGUGCUGACAAGAAAACGCCACCGGGUCACCCGCACCUGUGCGCGAGUCUAGGCGUGAAGAGAGACAUUCGGAGAGCGCACGUGUUACCUGCUUUAUUUCGGGACUUUUUGGUACGGUGUUCGCCCACGGCAGCUUUCCGCCCAGAAGACCACCACAGGCACCCACCGUUCAGCCACCCCUGCAUACAGCCCUCAGCACCCCGUCGCAGUCAAGCUCGUCCGGGGCCGCAGGAACUAGUAAGUACCAGACUGGCCGUAGCCUCUACCUCCCCA